rnacentral:rRNA from 1 species
UAGGGAAUCUUCCACAAUGGACGCAAGUCUGACCGAGCAACGCCGCGUGAGUGAAGAAGGUUUUCGGAUCGUAAAACUCUGUUGGUAGAGAAGAACGUUGGUGAGAGUGGAAAGCUCAUCAAGUGACGGUAACUACCCAGAAAGGGACGGCUAACUACGUGCCAGCAGCCGCGGUAAUACGUAGGUCCCCGAGCGUUGUCCGGAUUUAUUGGGCGUAAAGCGAGCGCAGGUGGUUUAUUAAGUCUGGUG